UUUAUAAGAUAUUAAUUCGCACUCUAUGGGUGAAUUUUUAUCAUAAAUCUUGCGCAAAACUUGCGCCGCAUCGCAUUUAUUGGCGAUACAAUUUUGGCGUAAAAAGGUUAUAAAUUGUUUAAAUUUUUCAUUUAUGUUGUGUAUAUUCUGACAUAACCAGAUAUAUGCAUGCUCGAUGCAAUGUUCUAAUUCAAAUAAAAAGAGUUGGUUGAUGGCUUCAUGUACAAGCAAGUAUCGCGCAAUGUCAGUUUUACAAUAUUUUUUUUAUACAUUUUAACGAGUUCUAUAACCAAAUGAAUUAUUAAUAAUGAAACCACAGUCGAUUGCACAAGUCGUUCGACAUUCGCGCGUCUAUCAAUUAACAUCUUCCAAGUUGCAUGAGGCAAUAUUAUCUGAUUGCUUCGAUUAUCGCCAAGAAUCAAUUCUACAUGGGACAUUGGUCCCAUGUUAAUUCCAAUAUCCAGAUAUUUUUUGUGUGGAUGUUAAUGCAAAUCUUCUCCCAAAAAUACGAGCUGUAUAACAAGGUGAUGAAUUUUGAGAAGACGUACUAUAAGAAAAAAAAGAUUACAGGUAAAAAAUAAGUUGUAAAAAAAUUGUCUUAAAAAAUUUUUUAUGGAGAAUAAAAAAACUUACUGUUGAUUGUAUGUUUCAUCCUGCCGAAUUGGGAUGUAAUAAUUCAUCUUUUCAUACAUUUUUGAAAAUUUUGUAGUAAUAAGAACUGUUCGUUUUUUUUUUACAGAGCGACUAAAUGCGACUAAUAUAUAAUGUGUUAGAACUCAACGAAUGUUGUAGUAACUUUGUUCGGAGUUCUUUAUAUAUUAUAUUCCCUAUCAAUUUCUUUUAUUGGAUAUCAAUUUCAAUGUUAUCUUCAAAAUAUGUAAUUUAUUCAUCUUUAUGUUAAUUUUUAGUGUAAGGUAACUAAUCAAACUAAUCAAAUCGCGAUAUGCUCGCUAAAAGAAGCGCCAAUAACGUGUUUAAAAGAAAAAAAAAGACAAUGAUUCAAUUUUUUUUCUAGAAAGAGCCGUGAAAAGAUGACUCUUCGUAAAACUCGAUGAUUGUACGUAUUAUGAUGUAUUAAGAGAAGUGUCGAUAUUUCGGCUACUAUUUAUUUUGGACAAUAUUUAUAAUUUAUUUUUUAGAUAAAGGGCAUGGGAAAAAUAUUUAAAGUGCCAAUAAUUCGGCUGCUAUAAACAAAUUGUGAUUCGGAAGGCAUAUGAUGAUGUCUCCGGUUUAAAUAAAGGGGAUGUCUAUGCUCCGGUUUAGAUAAAGGGAUAAGAAAAUUGUCAACGAUAUAUAGCUCCUAGGGCGCGCGGAAAUAGAAAAAAAAUAAUUGAUCGUGUCGAAAAUUUAAUAAUUGAGGAUAUUGAAAAUAUAUACCCUGAAAACGCGGGUAUAGUGAACGAAAUGUUUGGAGAAGAAGAAAUGGACAUCAAUAUUGAAAACAUUGACAUUGAUAUUGAUAUUGAAGAAGAGUUUUCCGAUGAAGAGCACGCAUUGUCUGACGAUGAUUACCUAUGUGAUCAGAGUGAGGACCUUACGGAUCAUGAAGAGAAAAUUGUCAUACGUUCGAAAUUCUUUGCUCUGAAUCUCCGUAAAAAAACAUUGCAUGAUACAUUUUUAUUAUUCAACGGAUGGUGUAUGUGCUCUGAUAUGUGGAUUGGACCUCUGACAAACACUAAUAUCGCAAUAUAUGCUGUUAGGAAGCAUGAAAUAAAUUCUCUUAGUGUGCUAAACGGCCGAUCUUGUUCCAACUGCAGACAGCCUCUAUAAUACCGUGUAAUAUGUAUCCUUUUUGCACAAAGUGAGAAAAGCAAUAUUGUGAACGAGUCAUCUGCAAGUGCUCUGUGGAAGAGUAAUAUAAAAAAAAAUAUGGAACAUCUAGAACGAAUAGAACGCGAGUUGCUGGAGCAGUGCAGCCAAGUCGCUACUUUAGCGGGCUAGAGUGUUUCGCUGCAACGAUGCGACGAGUGCAUCGAAUACCUCGAGGAACUUAGUCGUGUUAAGCGUUCUCGACUCACCGUCGGAAACAAACAAUCUGUGAUGGCGAGGAUCGCGGGUGCAAAGGUACAAUUAAGAUGUUUCAUGCACGUCGAUUAGUACGCGAGCACUAGAGUAGAGACAAUGGAUCUCUUGGCGAGAGAUUUAUACUGCGUUCGAAAGCCGUAUAUUGAUUGGUGUAGUGAUUAACAUGGACUAUAGCCGCGACGAUUUUUGGAAGACUGGUGGUGUAGUGCUCGAGCGAAUGCAAAACGCUAUAGAAAGACAUGGUAGUGUAAAAGUGAAUACCGCAUUCAACGGCAAGUUUGUGACGGGCGAUAAACGCGCUAAUAAAAGUGUCAACUAUGAAUUCUUUCGAGUGUCAAAUGUGGACGAAUGAUAUAAGCAGUAUGUCAUCGAACCCACGUUGGCAUCGCUCGAAAAAUUCCAAGUGACAGGGCAUGGAUAGGCGUUGUCGCGAAUUCUCAAUCUCACUGUAAAUGUAAACAAAUAUAAUUCUAUACACGCGAGAUAUUACAUCGAAUUACCGCAAAAAAUUAUGUUGAAGCGGUGAUCAACGUACGAUCCGGAGACAAUGCGUGUUUCGGGUGGUCGGUGCCUUGCGGCCAUGUCGCGGCCUUGCAUCCGGCUGAAAGGCAUAAAGAUCGGGAAUCGCUGUAUCCACAUUACACGUCAGUCUUGAAUCUCUAAGAUAUUGAGUUUCCAGUGACAUUGGAUCAAAUAAAAAAAUGCAAAAUUCAAAACUCCAUCUCCAUUAACGUUUAUGGCAUCGAGGAAAAGAAAAUUCUCCCGAUACGGCUGAUAAAUAAGAAGAUGGAGAAACACGUAAAUUUAUUGUAUAUUCAAGAUCCGCGCGAUGACAACACGGGGCACUUUGCGUACAUAAAAAACCUGUCCUCUCUCGUGAACUCGCAAAUAAACAGAAAGAAAUACAAGAAAUUCUUUUGCGAUCGAUGUCUACAUUAUUUCAGUUUAUCUGAAAAAUUGCAGUCGCAUACAAUGGAUUGCGAACAGAUGAACGACUGCUAUCCAAUUGCCGAGUGAAGACGACAAGUGGCUUACAUUUAAGGAUCACAUGAAUAAGGAACGACUUCCAUUCAUCGUGUACGCGGACUUGGAGUAUGUACUACGGCGAAUGAAAUCAAAGAAGGAAGACGCGUCGUAUAUCUAUCAGCAGCAUGAGAUAGAUCGAUGAGAGACAAGCUGGGGGUCGGGACCAGCGACCAGUAGUUCUCUGCAGGGUUCCGCAGGGAAGUUGAAAAACAAGGGUGCACAAAAGACACUGCUGCUCAAAUUUAAUAAAGUGAUAAUUUAAAGAAGUUGAAGAUUUAUUUUAAUUUAAAAUAUAUUAUAUAUCCCGUCCCAAUAUUAAAGUUUAUUAACUAAAUCUGCGGUUACUAAAUCUUUGGAGAGAAUCGACAACUAAACCAAGAGUUAAAAGCGAAUGCAAACGGACGGGCAGGUUCGACACGAAUGCCC